UUUUUAGAAUGAAUGAAGUUCUGUGUGCAAUGUGUUUUUGCUGACUGCUUCUUGUGUUUCAAAUGACAGAAAAAUGAGGAAAACCUGCUGUUGGAUGUUGCUUUGUGGUAAGGCAGGGUUUGGUUCUUUGGUGUUUUUGGACAGAGUUUUUAGAAAUGCAUCCAAGAUGAGUUUUUUUUUUUAGAAUGUGAGAGAAUGAAUGA
rnacentral:lncRNA from 1 species